rnacentral:piRNA from 1 species
UGGGGGUGAACCAGAAGCUAUGGCUGG